rnacentral:rRNA from 1 species
GACGAACGCUGGCGGCAUGCCUAAUACAUGCAAGUCGAGCGAACAUUUAUAGAUCCUUGCUUCUAUAAAUGUUAGCGGCGGAUGGGUGAGUAACACGUGUGCAACCUUCCCUGCAGAUGGGGAUAACUCCGGGAAACCGGGGCUAAUACCGGAUAAUCACUCUGUCCGCAUGGUCAAACUCUAAAAGACCGCUUCCGCUGUCACUUCAGGAUGGUCCCGCGGCGCAUUAGCUAGUUGCUGGGCUAACGGCCUACCCAUGCAACGAUGGCUAGCCUACCCGGGAGCGUGGAAGGCGAGACGGGGACUGGGAAACGGCCCAGACUCCUACGGAAGGCAGCAGUAGGGAGCUGUUGGUAAUGGACGCAAGUUUGAUGGAGCAACGCCGGGUGAGGGAAGAAGGUUUUCGGAUCGUAAAGCUCUGUUGUGAUGGAAGAACAAGUAUGGGGGUAACUGUCGUUACGUUGACGGUACCGAAUGAGAAAGCGACGGCUAACUACGUG